GGAGAGGUACCGAAGCGGCCAUAACGGCACCGACUCGAAAUCGGUUGGGGGCUUUAACGCCCCACAAGGGUUCGAAUCCCUUCCUCUCCGCCA
rnacentral:tRNA from 2 species